GGCGGGGCUUCCACGGAGGCCUCCGUGUAGGCCUCUGUGAAGCCUGAACUCCAGUAGGGCCCAAGCAAGCCAGGAAGGAGGCGGCAGCCAGAGAGGCCUCCACUGUUCUCUGCAGCAGAAGACCCCCUGCUGCCAGUAAAGCAAGUUUCCACAGUACAGUACAUCCCUUUUGAAGAAGGAAGGAAGGAAGGAAGGAAGAGGAGCUCUUCUAACAAUUGGUGAAAAGAGCUCCAGGUGGUCUGCGGGAAAGAUUAAUCAGAGAAUUAAAAAGUGAUAAUCUGCUUCUGGGAAUUCCUGUUCAGCUCCUGUUGCUACUGAAAGAGUUGCAGACUUGGUUAACCAAAGUUCAGCAGUGAUGAACCAAAGCUGGAACAAUGAGAAUUGCUGGGAAGUAUGUGUGACCUUUGUCAAAGAUGCAGCAAGGAGUGCUGAACAACAAGAUGUACCUGGCCUAGCUGAACAUUUUGAUGCUUAGAGAACAUCGGUGAUAAGAGAUGGUCUGCUUCUGAAGAUGUAUCUGACAACAUUAUAACAAUGUCUGGGAAUAAAGCCAAGAUGCUGAACUGGCAACUAGGAUCUGAUGACAUGGCUCUGGACAGAUGGCACCUUUUUGGAAAAAAGGGGUAUAAGGGUCUUCAGUGGAAAUUUCAAGAAACCAGUCACAUAAUCUCUGUUGCAAGAUGACAAACAAAAGAAUGGAAUCUUUUGGAAAUGCCUCCAACCAGGACAAGAGACACAAAAGUCCAAGCGAGAAGGCACCCAGUCAGUGCCUUAGGAACAUUUCUUCAAUAGACCAUUGCCUCAUUUAUUUCUCCUCUCAAUUCUCUCUCUCUCUCUCUCUCUCUCUCUCUCUCUCUCUAACACACACACACACACACACACACACACCUUAAAUUUCUCUCUUUUCCAUUCUUCCCUGUGUCAUUUUAUUUCAGAUUCCUUGUUAUUUAGAUAUAUUUAUUUAGGAUUUCCAUGCAUCUUUCCUAACCAGUAUGUUUCCUCCCUAUCUUCACUUGAGGGCUCCUUUACAGCUAGAUGGUUGGUCAUAGCUCUGGAUAGCAUGGAACUUGCAUUGCUGGAUUUUGAGGUAGGAAUAACUAUACUUGAAAAAUUUAAGUAGAAGGGCAGGAUAAAGUAAAGGAAGGUAGACAAAAAGUGUAGAGGAUCACACUUGUAAAAACAUUUAAUUACUAGAGGAUUAUUGGUGUUGAGAAUGAUUUUCUGCUAAGAAUUGUCUUGCAUUCUUCUGCUAAGAAUUGGCUUUAUUUGCCAUGUUGUUUUAUCAGCCUUAAUGGUUCAUUCAUUCAUGAUGAAUUAAUAAAUGUAUUAUCUGCUUCAAGACUUGAUUAUUUAUUUUUAUAUAGUACAUUUUUAGAAAGUAGGCAGAUUAGCUCUUUCCAGAACUUCUUGUUAUACUACCAAAAACAAGUGUCUCAUGGCAGUUUACAUUAAAAAAACCUAAAACAAAAAACUGUUGCAGACCAGUUACAUAAAAAACCUCUUUACAUAACUAAAAACCACAGUUAAACCCAAAAAAUUUGAAGUUAGAAUUAGUUUAAAACAAUAAGAGUUAUUGUUGUUUAAAAUGUGUAAAUGUUUAAAAAUGUUUAAAAUAACAUUAACAUCAGUACAACCAACUUCUAGCUGGCCAAAGAUUUGAUUAAAUAAAUAUGUCUUGAAAACUCUUCUAAAAACAGCUAGAGAUGGUGAAGCAGGGAGCUCAUUCCAGACUUUCAGGGUGGCAAAAGAAAAGGCCGAACCCUGAGUUGCCACCAGAUGAGCUGCAGGCAACCAUAGGGCAAACUCUUCAGCAGAUCUUAAUAAGCAAUGUGGGUCUUGAAGCAGAAGGUGCUCUCUAUCCCGGGGCAGGGCCCAAGCCAUCCAGGACCUUAUAUUCCUUUAUGUUUUGCCUGGAAAUAUUGCAGAAGCCAGUGCAAUACUUUUGAAUAGGUGCAAUAUGGUCUCUCUGAGUUCUCCUGGAGACUGCAUUUUGUACCAACUUCAAUUUAUGGACAACAUACAAAGACAGCCCCACAGACAGCACAGUGCAGUAGUCAAGUCUGAGGUUACCAGCACAUGUACCACUGCUUUUAGGUGAUUCUCCUCAGAAAUGGCCAUUGUGGGUGUAUCAGCUAAUAAAAAGCUCCUCUGGCUACUGCCUCAGACUGAGAAACCAGAGAGACAUUUGAGUCAAGAAAUAUUCUCAGACUAUAUACUUGUUCCUUCUGUCUGUUGUGGCUGUUAUUAUAUAUCCCGUUGCUUCCAGCUUUGUGCCUGUGCCUCAAUAAACCACUAGUAAUUCAUUCCACACAUGAACCCUAUUCACACAUUAUGUUCAAAACAACCGGUGUGUAUGCACGUACAAUAAUUCACAUUUAUGUUCAACCCACGUACGGUAGUACACAUCCUAUCUGUAUUGUGCAAUUUAGGCCCACUUUUAAAAUGAGCACAUGUAUAGAAACACAUGUAUAGAAAUUCACAUAACAACAUGUACGGGUAUAAAGACAUUUGUAUGUAUGUAUGUACAAUAUCGUAUCUCAAUAGGGCUGUAUUAUUGAUGUUCCAUGAAUCCAUGCAUGCGUGAUCUUCCUGGUCACGCCUUUAGCCCACUGGGACAAUUAAAGAAUAUCAUUUUCACACUUCAGUCGCUUGGUGAUUUGAAACAGUGUUGGAUGAAAGUAUGCCUAAAUUCCAAAGUCAGACCAGCCUGUUAUGUCAAACAAGCUGUUGUUUUUACCUCAAUUUUAAUCAAACGAAAUAGUAAGAACUUUUCAUGCUGUUCAUACCAAAUAGAGUGAGAUUCUGUUUUGCACACCCACACUUAAACAGAUGGGUAGCACAGUGUUUAGUGUAGUCAAGUUUUUAUUUGUCAAUAUUAAUAAUAAAGUCUUUGAGAAGGGAAGCUGUUGCAUUAUGUAUCAUUUCCCCAUCUUCACACAUUCCUUUUUUAAUAAAUCAUGCAAUAGGGAUAUAUGUGCUACAACCUUAUUCCCCCCCCUCCCAACACCUUUUCCUAACUUCAGUUUGUCCAAACUACCCUCUACACAUGCUAUAAAGACCUG